GAUCAUGGCUCAGGAUGAACGCUGGCGGCGCGCCUAACACAUGCAAGUCGAACGGUUAAAGCCCCUUCGGGGGUGCAUAAAGUGGCGAACGGCUGAGUAACACGUGGGCAACCUGCCCCCCGCUUCGGGAUAGCCUCGGGAAACCGUGGGUAAUACCGGAUACUCCGCCCACCCCGCAUGGGGAGGCGGGAAAGCGCAUACGGCGGGGGAUGGGCCCGCGGCCUGUUAGCUCGUUGGCGGGGUAACGGCCCACCAAGGCUAUUAUGGGUAGCCGGGUUGAGAGACCGACCGGCCAGAUUGGGACUGAGACACGGCCCAGACUCCUACGGGAGGCAGCAGUGGGGAAUCUUGCACAAUGGGCGAAAGCCUGAUGCAGCCGACACCGCGUGCGGGAUGAAGGCCCUCGGGUUGUAAACCGCUUUCAGCAGGGACGAGGCGCAAGUGACGGUACCUGCAGAAGAAGCCCCGGCUAACUACGUGCCAGCCGCAGC
rnacentral:rRNA from 1 species